AGAGUUUGAUCCUGGCUCAGGAUGAACGCUAGCGGCAGGCCUAAUACAUGCAAGUCGAGGGGCAGCACAGGGUAGCAAUACCUGGGUGGCGACCGGCAAACGGGUGCGGAACACGUACAGAACCUUCCUUUAAGCGGGGAAUAGCCCAGAGAAAUUUGGAUUAAUACCCCAUAGGAUUGUGGAGUGGCAUCACUCAGCAAUUAAAGAUUUAUCACUUAAAGAUGGCUGUGCGUCUGAUUAGGUAGUUGGUGAGGGUAACGGCCCACCAAGCCUACGAUCAGUAACUGGUGUGAGAGCACGACCAGUCACACGGGCACUGAGACACGGGCCCGACUCCUACGGGAGGCAGCAGUAAGGAAUAUUGGUCAAUGGACGCAAGUCUGAACCGGCCAUGCCGCGUGGAGGAUGAAGGUCCUCUGGAUUGUAAACUUCUUUUAUCUGGGACGAAAAAGGGGCAUUCUUGCUCAACUGACGGUACCAGAUGAAUAAGCACCGGCUAACUCCGUGCCAGCAGCCGCGGUAAUACGGAGGGUGCAAGCGUUAUCCGGAUUCACUGGGUUUAAAGGGUGCGUAGGCGGAUAUGUAAGUCCGUGGUGAAAUCUCUGGGCUUAACCCGGAAACUGCCAUGGAUACUAUGUGUCUUGAAUGUUGUUGAGGUGAGCGGAAUAUGUCAUGUAGCGGUGAAAUGCUUAGAUAUGACAUAGAACACCAAUUGCG
rnacentral:rRNA from 1 species